GUUGUAUGGUUAAGUGACUAAGCGUACACGGUGGAUGCCUUGGCAGUCAGAGGCGAUGAAGGACGUAUUAACUUGCGAUAAGCGUAGAUUAGGCAGUAAAAGCCACUUGAGUCUACGAUUUCCGAAUGGGGAAACCCACUAGCAUAAGCUAGUAUCGCUGCGUGAAUACAUAGCGCAGCGAGGCGAACUCGGGGAACUGAAACAUCUAAGUACCCGAAGGAAAAGAAAUCAACUGAGAUUCCGAAAGUAGCGGCGAGCGAAAUUGGACUAGCCCUUAAGCUUUAAAUGAUGCAGGUGAACACGCUGGAAAGCGUGGCAAUAAAGGGUGAUAGCCCCGUAACCGACACAUCAUUCUAAGUGAAAACGAGUAAGGCGGGACACGUGAUAUCCUGUUUGAAUAUGGGGGGACCAUCCUCCAAGGCUAAAUACUACUGACUGACCGAUAGUGAACCAGUACCGUGAGGGAAAGGCGAAAAGAACCCCUGUGAGGGGAGUGAAAUAGAACCUGAAACCGUGUACGUACAAGCAGUAGGAGCC
rnacentral:rRNA from 1 species